rnacentral:rRNA from 1 species
UCCGGCUAAUACCCCAUACGAUCCAACAACACAAGUUGUUGGAUGAAAGGAGCGUUUGCUCCGCCGAGGGAUGAGCCCGCGGCCCAUCAGGUAGUUGGUGGGGUAAUGGCCCACCAAGCCUACGACGGGUAGCCGGCCUGAGAGGGUGGUCGGCCGCAAGGGCACUGAGACACGGGCCCUACUCCUACGGGAGGCAGCAGUGGGGAAUCUUGGACAAUGGGCGAAAGCCUGAUCCAGCGACGCCGCGUGGGGGAUGAAGCCCUUCGGGGUGUAAACCCCUGUUGCGAGGGAGGAAUAAGGCCUGGAGGAAAUGCCAGGCCGAUGACUGUACCUCGCGAGGAAGCCCCGGCUAACUACGUGCCAGCAGCCGCGGUAAUACGUAGGGGGCGAGCGUUACCCGGAUUCACUGGGCGUAAAGCGGGUGUAGGCGGCUCGGUAAGUCGGGUGUGAAAUCCCACAGCUCAACUGUGGAAUUGCGCCCGAAACUGCUGAGCUUGGGGCCGGUAGAGGGAGACGGAACUGCCGGUGUAGGGGUGAAAUCCGUAGAUAUCGGCAGGAACGCCGGUGGGGAAGCCGGUCUCCUGGGCCGCGCCCGACGCUGAGACCCGAAAGCUAGGGGAGCAAACCGGAUUAGAUACCCGGGUAGUCCUAGCCGUAAACGAUGCCCACUAGGUGUGGGGGAUUAAUUCCUCCGUGCUGUAGCUAACGCGUUAAGUGGGCCGCCUGGGGAGUACGCCCGCAAGGGUGAAACUCAA